ACUCAAACGAUGCAGAUAUUUGACGCUUAAUUCUUCAGAACGUUGAAUUUAUCUGAAAGAUUGAAUGUUCAAAGCUCCAACCGUCGACCAGCAAAAGAUGGAAUCGUCAGGAAUAAGAAAUCUGUCUUACAUUCAGCAAAUAAUUAACGUGGUGCAAAAGGAACUUGCUCAGUUUUUCAUUAAACAAUGGAACUCUCGUUACAAAUCAACUUAUGGAGAAUGGGAUGAUACACACAACAGUGGUAACAAAUUUUACAAUUUAGAAUCAAGAAGAAAGUUAGACCAAAAAACUCGACAAAAA